GUUCUUCCAACCAUAAUUUUCUCCAAAGCCUCCUGUACUAGAUUCUCUGACACACUGUCAAGAGCACUUGUUGCUUCAUCUAAGAGAAGAAUUGAUGGGUUCUUCAACAUUGCUCUAGCUAUUGCUAUUCUCUGCUUCUGCCCUCCUGAUAGCUGCACUCCUCUUUCUCCACAACAUUGUGUCUUGGAUUGUUUGAGCAUCAGAAGUUAUGGUGGCGAUUACUUGGAAGGUUGUGGAAGAGUCACUUUGCUUGUCAAAGAAACCAACUUCUUGUCUGAGAAUUGAUUUAAGAUAUUCAAUUCUCAUCCGAGAAGUUUGUCUUUCUGCAGUUCUUGUCCAGCAUACUCCUACUGCAAGAUAAUACCAUGCACUCUAUUGGAAUCAAUAUUAUAGUCUUCAAAUGUUUAGAAUAAAUAAAUUAGAUGCACAAUUAUAUGCAGUUAAACAUAAGAAGCUAUAUUGCUUUCUUUUUUUGCUUA